AAUGCCGCGGUGAAUACGUUCCCGGGUCUUGUACACACCGCCCGUCACACCAUGGGAGUAGGUUUCACCAGAAGUAGCUAGCCUAACCGUAAGGAGGGCGGUUACCACGGUGAGAUUUAUGACUGGGGUGAAGUCGUAACAAGGUAGCCGUAUCGGAAGGUGCGGCUGGAUCACCUCCUUU
rnacentral:rRNA from 1 species